UGCGGGCGACGCGGUGGUGACCACGCCGCAGGAAACGGUGCCGGGGGCGCUGGCGUCCACGCCGACGGUGCUGCGCCGCCCGCCCGCGU
rnacentral:tRNA from 1 species